rnacentral:lncRNA from 1 species
AAAAAUGGGGGAAGAGACGAAUCUGUUACUGGAAUGGGGCGAUGCAGAUCUUAAAAUAUAUAAGACUUUUACUGUCGUGGUAUUCACGAUGCAAAUUUCUGCAUGUUAUCGUCGUGAUAAACACGUCGCAUCCAAUAAAUUUGUUGGACAUUGCAACGCAAUUAUCAUGACACAAAUAAAUUGUAUAAGUCAAGUUUACUUUCCCCAACAACUCUUUCCAAAAUAAUUUUUAAAAUUAUAAAAUUUCAGUAGCGAUGUGAAUCACGACACUACACAUUUUUC